UACGUAGGUGGCAAGCGUUAUCCGGAUUUACUGGGUGCAAAGGGCGUGUAGGCGGGACUGCAAGUCAGAUGUGAAAACCACGGGCUCAACCUGUGGCCUGCAUUUGAAACUGUAGUUCUUGAGUACUGGAGAGGCAGACGGAAUUCCUAGUGUAGCGGUGAAAUGCGUAGAUAUUAGGAGGAACACCAGUGGCGAAGGCGGUCUGCUGGACAGCAACUGACGCUGAGGCGCGAAAGCGUGGGGAGCAAACAGG
rnacentral:rRNA from 1 species